rnacentral:rRNA from 1 species
UACGUAGGGUGCGAGCGUUAAUCGGAAUUACUGGGCGUAAAGCGUGCGCAGGCGGUUCGUUGUGUCGGUGGUGAAAUCCCCGGGCUUAACCUGGGAAUGGCCAUGGAAACUGGCGAACUGGAGUGCGGUAGAGGGGGGUGGAAUUCCGCGUGUAGCAGUGAAAUGCGUAGAGAUGCGGAGGAACACCGAUGGCGAAGGCAGCCCCCUGGGCUAGCACUGACGCUCAGGCACGAAAGCGUGGGGAGCAAACAGG